GAAACGACUGCUAAGACUGGAUAGGAGACAAGAAGGCAUCUUCUUGUUUUUAAAAGACCUAGCAAUAGGUAUGCUUAGGGAGGAGCUUGCGUCACAUUAGUUAGUUGGUGGGGUAAAAGCCUACCAAGACUAUGAUGUGUAGCCGGGCUGAGAGGUUGAACGGCCACAUUGGGACUGAGACACGGCCCAAACUCCUACGGGAGGCAGCAGUAGGGAAUUUUCGGCAAUGGAGGAAACUCUGACCGAGCAACGCCGCGUGAACGAUGAAGUAUUUCGGUACGUAAAGUUCUUUUAUUAGGGAAGAAUAAAUGAUGGAAAAAUCAUUCUGACGGUACCUAAUGAAUAAGCCCCGGCUAACUAUGUGCCAGCAGCCGCGGUAAUACAUAGGGGGCAAGCGUUAUCCGGAAUUAUUGGGCGUAAAGGGUGCGUAGGCGGUUAAAUAAGUUUAUGGUCUAAGUGCAAUGCUCAACAUUGUGAUGCUAUAAAAACUGUUUAGCUAGAGUAAGAUAGAGGCAAGUGGAAUUCCAUGUGUAGUGGUAAAAUGCGUAAAUAUAUGGAGGAACACCAGUAGCGAAGGCGGCUUGCUGGGUCUUUACUGACGCUGAGGCACGAAAGCGUGGGGAGCAAACAGGAUUAGAUACCCUGGUAGUCCACGCCGUAAACGAUGAGUACUAAACGUUGGGUAAAACCAGUGUUGAAGUUAACACAUUAAGUACUCCGCCUGAGUAGUACGUACGCAAGUAUGAAACUUAAAGGAAUUGACGGGACUCCGCACAAGCGGUGGAUCAUGUUGUUUAAUUCGAAGGUACCCGAAAAACCUCACCAGGUCUUGACAUGCUUCUGCAAAGCUGUAGAAACACAGUGGAGGUUAUCAGUUGCACAGGUGGUGCAUGGUUGUCGUCAGCUCGUGUCGUGAGAUGUUGGGUUAAGUCCCGCAACGAGCGCAACCCUUAUUGUUAGUUACCAGCACGUAAUGGUGGGGACUUUAGCAAGACUGCCAGUGAUAAAUUGGAGGAAGGUGGGGACGACGUCAAAUCAUCAUGCCCCUUAUGACCUGGGCUACAAACGUGAUACAAUGGCUGUUACAAAGGGUAGCUGAAGCGCAAGUUUUUGGCGAAUCUCAAAAAAACAGUCUCAGUUCGGAUUGAAGUCUGCAACUCGACUUCAUGAAGUUGGAAUCGCUAGUAAUCGCGAAUCAGCAUGUCGCGGUGAAUACGUUCUCGGGGUUUGUACACACCGCCCGUCA
rnacentral:rRNA from 1 species